AUAUAAACACAUAAUAACAUAAUAUACUCAUCAUAUGAACACAAAACACUUAAUCAAAUACCAACAACACAUAACCAAACUGAUUAAACCCUUUUCGAAACAUCAACAAAACUUUUACAAAAUCCAACAUGUAACUCGGAUUACAUAUUUAGACGAGAUAAUAUGAAUACUUUUGGACUCAAAGUAGCAUCAUCGCUCCCGCCGGCUCACCGGAGCUCAUCACCGGCGGCGGCAAAACCCGGAGGUGCCCGAAUCGGGUCUCCAAUCACGGGUUCCACCAAUUAAUAAUCGUUUAAGCCAAAGCCCCAUGCUAAUUUCAUCAAAAACGAAGUAUAUUUUCAGAAAUCAA
rnacentral:lncRNA from 1 species